UUAAUACUCCUUUCGUCCGGAAAUACUUGUCUUUAGAAAUGAAUAAAAUGAAUGUAUCUACAACUAAAAUAAGUCUAGAUACAACUAUUUCUAAGACAAGUAUUUCCGGACGGAGUGUAAGUC
rfam:Triticum aestivum genome assembly, contig: Triticum_aestivum_CS42_TGACv1_scaffold_017577_1AL